rnacentral:rRNA from 1 species
AACGAAGGCUGGCGGCAUGCCUAACACAUGCAAGUCGAACGAGACCUUCGGGUCUAGUGGCGCACGGGUGCGUAACGCGUGGGAACCUGCCCUUAGGUUCGGAAUAACUCCCCGAAAGGGGUGCUAAUACCGGAUAAUGUCUGCGGACCAAAGAUUUAUCGCGUUUGGAUGGGCCCGCGUUGGAUUAGCUAGUGGGGAGGGUAAAAGCCUACCAAGGCGAGGAUCCAUAGCUGGUCUGAGAGGAUGAUCAGCCACACUGGGACUGAGACACGGCCCAGACUCCUACGGGAGGCAGCAGUGGGGAAUAUUGGACAAUGGGCGAAAGCCUGAUCCAGCAAUGCCGCGUGAGUGAUGAAGGCCUUAGGGUUGUAAAGCUCUUUUACCCGGGAUGAUAAUGACAGUACCGGGAGAAUAAGCUCCGGCUAACUCCGUG